UAGGCGUAAAUAGAUGCGAGUUAAGUGUGGGGGCGAUCUACGAGAUGGCCCUGUGCUGUAGGGUAGCCGUUAAACUCGCUGCCUGGGGAGGUACGGUCGCAAGGCUGAAACUUAAAGGAAUUGGGCGGGGGAGGCACCACAACGGGUGGAGCCUGCGGUUUAAUUUGGACUCAACGCCGGGAAGCUCACCGGAUAAGACAGCGGAAUGAUUGCCGGGCUGAAGACCCUGCAUGACCAGCUGAGAGGUGGUGCAUGGCGUCAGUGACU
rnacentral:rRNA from 1 species